rnacentral:rRNA from 1 species
GAAGCGAACGCGGUGAACUGAAACAUCUAAGUAACCGCAGGAAAAGAAAUCAACCGAGAUUCCCAAAGUAGUGGCGAGCGAAAUGGGAUGAGCCUUGCACUCUUUAUUUGUAUUGUUAGCCGAACGCUCUGGAAAGUGCGGCCAUAGCAGGUGAUAGCCCUGUAGGCGAAAACAGUAUGAAAGAACUAGGUGUGCGACAAGUAGGGCGGGACACGUGAAAUCCUGUCUGAAGAUGGGGGGACCAUCCUCCAAGGCUAAAUACUCGUGAUCGACCGAUAGUGAACCAGUACCGUGAGGGAAAGGCGAAAAGAACCCCGGGAGGGGAGUGAAAUAGAUCCUGAAACCGCAUGCAUACAAACAGUCGGAGCCUCGUAAGGGGUGACGGCGUACCUUUUGUAUAAUGGGUCAGCGACUUACGUUCAGUAGCAAGCUUAACCGUAUAGGGCAGGCGUAGCGAAAGCGAGUCCGAAUAGGGCGUUCAGUUGCUGGGCGUAGACCCGAAACCAGGUGAUCUAUCCAUGGCCAGGAUGAAGGUGCGGUAACACGUACUGGAGGUCCGAACCCACUAACGUUGAAAAGUUAGGGGAUGAGCUGUGGAUAGGGGUGAAAGGCUAAACAAACCUGGAAAUAGCUGGUUCUCUCCGAAAACUAUUUAGGUAGUGCCUCGUGUCUCACCUUCGGGGGUAGAGCACUGUCAUGGUUGGGGGGUCUAUUGCAGAUUACCCCGCCAUAGCAAACUCCGAAUACCGAAGAGUGCAAUCACGGGAGACAGACAUCGGGUGCUAACGUCCGGUGUCAAGAGGGAAACAACCCAGACCGCCAGCUAAGGUCCCCAAAUAUAGCUAAGUGGGAAACGAAGUGGGAAGGCUAAAACAGUCAGGAGGUUGGCUUAGAAGCAGCCACCCUUUAAAGAAAGCGUAAUAGCUCACUGAUCGAGUCGUCCUGCGCGGAAGAUGUAACGGGGCUAAGCUAUAUACCGAAGCUGCGGAUGCGUGCUUGCACGCAUGGUAGGAGAGCGUUCCGUAAGCCUGCGAAGGUGCCUUGUAAAGGGUGCUGGAGGUAUCGGAAGUGCGAAUGCUGACAUGAGUAGCGAUAAAGGGGGUGAAAGGCCCCCUCGCCGUAAGCCCAAGGUUUCCUACGCAACGUUCAUCGGCGUAGGGUGAGUCGGCCCCUAAGGCGAGGCAGAAAUGCGUAGCUGAUGGGAAGCAGGUCAAUAUUCCUGCACCAUUGUUAGAUGCGAUGGGGGGACGGAUCGCGGAAGGUUGUCCGGGUGUUGGAAGUCCCGGUCGCUGCAUUGGAGAAGGCGCUUAGGCAAAUCCGGGCGCGCAAUUCAAGGGUGUGGCGCGAGCUCCUUAGGGAGCGAAGCAAUUGGAAGUGGUUCCAAGAAAAGCCUCUAAGCUUCAGUCUAACGAUGACCGUACCGCAAACCGACACAGGUGGGCGAGAUGAGUAUUCUAAGGCGCUUGAGAGAACUCGGGAGAAGGAACUCGGCAAAUUGGUACCGUAACUUCGGGAUAAGGUACGCCCUUGUAGCUUGACUGGCCUGCGCCAGGAGGGUGAAGGGGUUGCAAUAAACUGGUGGCUGCGACUGUUUAAUAAAAACACAGCACUCUGCAAACACGAAAGUGGACGUAUAGGGUGUGACGCCUGCCCGGUGCCGGAAGAUUAAAUGAUGGGGUGCAAGCUCUUGAUUGAAGUCCCGGUAAACGGCGGCCGUAACUAUAACGGUCCUAAGGUAGCGAAAUUCCUUGUCGGGUAAGUUCCGACCUGCACGAAUGGCGUAACGAUGGCCACACUGUCUCCUCCCGAGACUCAGCGAAGUUGAAGUGUUUGUGAUGAUGCAAUCUACCCGCGGCUAGACGGAAAGACCCCAUGAACCUUUACUGUAGCUUUGCAUUGGACUUUGAACCGAUCUGUGUAGGAUAGGUGGGAGGCUAUGAAACCGGAACGCUAGUUUCGGUGGAGCCGUCCUUGAAAUACCACCCUGGUUUGUUUGAGGUUCUAACCUUGGCCCGUGAUCCGGGUCGGGGACAGUGCAUGGUAGGCAGUUUGACUGGGGCGGUCUCCUCCCAAAGCGUAACGGAGGAGUACGAAGGUACGCUAGGUACGGUCGGAAAUCGUGCUGAUAGUGCAAUGGCAUAAGCGUGCUUAACUGCGAGACCGACAAGUCGAGCAGGUGCGAAAGCAGGUCAUAGUGAUCCGGUGGUUCUGUAUGGAAGGGCCAUCGCUCAACGGAUAAAAGGUACUCUGGGGAUAACAGGCUGAUACCGCCCAAGAGUUCAUAUCGACGGCGGUGUUUGGCACCUCGAUGUCGGCUCAUCUCAUCCUGGGGCUGUAGCCGGUCCCAAGGGUAUGGCUGUUCGCCAUUUAAAGAGGUACGUGAGCUGGGUUUAAAACGUCGUGAGACAGUUUGGUCCCUAUCUGCCGUGGGCGUUGGAUAUUUGAAGGGGGCUGCUCCUAGUACGAGAGGACCGGAGUGGACGAACCUCUGGUGUACCGGUUGUCACGCCAGUGGCAUCGCCGGGUAGCUAUGUUCGGAAGAGAUAACCGCUGAAAGCAUCUAAGCGGGAAACUCGCCUUAAGAUGAGAUAUCCCUGGGGACUAGAUCCCCUUGAAGGGUCGUUCGAGACCAGGACGUUGAUAGGUCAGGUGUGUAAGCGCAGUAAUGCGUUCAGCUAACUGAUACUAAUUGCCCGUAAGGCUUGAUCCU